CCCCACUCCAGCCCCAAGAACAGAGAAUGUUUGUUCUUAUGUUGCCUGGUGUACUGCUAGCAAGAUCUCAUAACAGAUUAUAAGGAGGAACAGUGAAGCCCUCUUCAUUGAACACUCUCAUCACUGAGGUUUAAACAUCCAUUGGGUUUUUUCUUUGUUUUUGUUUUGUUUUGUUUUCUGUUCCUGUUGUUGUUACAAUUGGUAAGCAAUUGGGAGUUCGCCUGCUAUUGGAAUGAUCCUAACGAGCUGGGAGAAACUCUUCCACAGAAACCAUCCUUGUGAGCAAAGCCGUGUUGCCUUGUGUGCAGUUCACUGACUGUUGCACCCUCAUGCCAGGGCUUGCUAGGGACAGAGGCCGCAUUUGGAAGCUACCUCAGAAGUUGUGAUGUUUUUGUUUCCUGGAGAAUUAGUGUUUCCAGCAUGUUUUUAGCUUCACAUUUCUUCAAAGGAGAGUACUAUUGACGUAACACCUAAUUCAAAGGCCCCUACUUAAGAAACAAGCUACUGGUUGGUUUUCCUGCUGUGCUGUAUCUGAAAGAGCCCAGGGUUGUCUCUCUGACUGCAUCGAAGUCAUUUCUCCUAGCAGUUCGAGCUUAUGUGUCUCCUUCACGCUUUCAAAGAGAUGUUUCAGUGCCUGAGCCGGUCAGAUUUAACUGCCACCUUAACACAAUUUGGAAUCAUCUAGAAAGAGAGUCUCAAUGAGGAAUUACUAAGGCCAGGUAGGCCUGUGGGUGUGUCUGUGGGUCGAUGUCUUGAUUGUUAAGUAAUGUCAGGAGAGCUAGUCAAUUGUGGGCAGCACCCAUUCCCCAGGCAGAGGUCCUGAGCUGUAGGGGAGGAGUCUGUCUGCCGUACUAUGUGGAUGUAAUAUGAUCACCUUUCUCAAGCUUCUCUCACUAUAACUCCCCCACAGAGAGGGACUCUAGCCUGGAAUUGUGAGCUAAAACCCUUUCUCUCCUAAGUUGCUUUUUGUCAGAGUAUUUUGUCACAGCAGCAGAAAGGAAGCUAGGAGAGCAUCUACCCCUGCUUGACAACAUCAAGCAGUUUUAGAGAUUUCCAUGUGCCUGUGAAAAUGCCAGACUCCCAUGUUGGCAGAGGAGAGUACAGAAGUGGAUGCUCCGUGUGCAGCAGUGGUCAGUGCCAGCCCUUGUGUUUUAUUAUUUCAUUCCACCCUCCCUUAGCCCAUGUGGGGUAAGUAAGUGGUUUUGUCUCUCCUGCCCCUACUUUUAAGUAUGGGAAGACCUGAGGUGCAGAGAUCAGAUUGACUUUCCCAGAAGCAAGCAGCUGGUGAGUAGUAAACAGCCUGCUAGUGUUCCCUGAAGUCCGUGCUUAAUUAGGAGGCAAGGUCAAUCUCUCCACUUUGGUAGAGGAAGCAGACCUUCAGCAGUAGUCCUUUAUUACUAUAGAAGCCAUAACUGGGUUGAUCAUAUAUCAAACUCUAGAAACAAGUGUAUGCACACCCUACCGAUGCUAUAACAGAUUGAUUACAAACUUAACAGCUAACCAAAAAAUCUGUCAUCUUGGCAUUAUUUGGUUAGUAGUUUAACCUGGGUCUCACUGGGCCCUUUUAAAAGCUGUUGGCAAGGCUGUGACAUUUCUCAGCUAUGGUUGUAAACCCCUUGCUCUGUCGAAUUCCUUUAGUGUGGGCAGUUCCUCAGUUUACAAUCCAUAUAUGGGUGUAUUCUAUAUAUAAGCAGUUUAGCUUUUGAUCAUUAGCCAUUUCACUGAGCACAGUGACACUGAUGCUACAAGUAGGUGUAUCUUCAUGGGGGAGAAAAGCGUUGAUUUUAAUGCUACUUUUCCCCUCUUCCCUGGGGUGGAGUUUUCUGGGUCCUCAGCCUGCAGUUGAUUCUCAGGUUCUCUACUAUGUUACCAGGGCGCCUUGAUUGACUGACUUCUCUUGCUGCUUCUAUAAAUGAAGGAUGAGCACUAAUUUUGUAAAUUUUUGUUUUGUGUUUUGAGAUAAGAGUCUCACUAUGUAGCUCUGGCAGCCCUGGAACUCUCUAUGUAGACCAGGCUGGCCUGAAAUCACAGAGUUCUACUUGCCUCUGCCUUCUGAGUACUAGAACCAAAGUCAUAUGGCUCCAGGCCCAGCAAGUACAGUACUAUCUUUUAUUAGAAAACGGGAGAAUGAAAAACAUACAGAAUUUGCUGUAACUCUGUAACUUGUAAUUAGAUACCUUCAUUUAAUAAGAAAAAUGUAAGCCGGGCUGUGGUGGCACAUGCCUUAACUCCCAGCUCUUGAGUUCAAGGCCAACCUGGUCUAUAGAGUGAGUUCCAGGACAGCCAAGGGUACUCAGAGAAACCCUGUCUUGAAGAACCAAAAAAGGAAAAUGUAAGUCAUUCCAUUUGAAGGAAGUAAUUGAGACCAGUCAACAGGUAUCAAGUAACAUAACAAGAUGUGGUGUGCCUGCCACAGGCAGAGAUGUGAGGGGACAGAGAAGCAGUGAACACGUUGACAUAGGUAUGGAUGCCUGUUGCCAUGGCUACUUGAAGUCUCAGUAUCCCUGCUUUACAAUCCUAGUUGCAAGGAUUGCUACAACUUGACUCAUCAAAACUAAAACCAGGCAGAUGUGAAGGUGAUAACGAGGCAUCCUUUUGUUACUCAGUCUUCCAGGGGAAACCCUGUUGAUGUAGGCUAGAGUUGUCAUGUGACCUAUCCUCUAACCUCAGCUGGAUAGAUAAACUGACUUCUUGAGGCGUGUGAAAAAGUCAAGAAUCAUAGAGCUUGCUUUCUUUCACAGCAGUGAAGCUGCUUCAUCUCAAAGAGAGAUGACUUCGAUGCAAGCGGAGUCGCUAGGGAUGAUAAGCCCAAGGAAUAGUUCAUUUGGAACGGUACCAAAUUACUCCAGCUGUGUAAAUGGAACCACCAAAAAUAGUUUUUCAUUCUGCCCCACUGCCACCGCUGGAAAAAGACCAGAUUUCCUGCUUUCAGCUUUCCUGUGUCCCAUCCUUGCCUCAUCAACCCUCAGCAGGAAAAGACAGAGGCUAGGGGGUUUCCCGGAGUUACUCAGUAGUUCAACUUUAGAAAAAUCAAUACACACAAAAAAGUAGUUGGUAGCUUUUUCUGAAAGUUUCCAAGAAGUUGAGUGAACUGGCAGCGUGUUAGUUCAUUUUAGCCUGUCUUUUAUGAAUUCCAAAAACAGAAUUUAGGGACCCCCCCCCAAAAAAAAAAAAAACAACUUGAAAUAAAAGGAAAACCUUGAGAACUAGUUAAAGCUGGUAAAAGCAAACUGAGCAAGAGACAGGUUGGUUACCAGUGGAGCAGGGCAAGCAGGAUGACCUGGAAAAGCGUGAGUGGGAUUGAAGCGGCAGAUAUUUUCAGAUCUCACAGUCAAAUGUGGGUAAGAACUUUGUAUGGACCUGAAGCAAAGCAACUGUUCAAAAAGUUGAGUUUGGGGGUGGAACGGUGUUUGGUUGGUUGGUUUUUCAGAUUUUUAGGGAGACCUGGGUGUAGUCUGAUUUAAAAAGGACAGUGUACGCCCUUUUCGCCAAGAUGGCGCCGAAAGCAAAGAAGGAAGCUCCUGCCCCUCCCAAAGCGGAAGCCAAAGCGAAGGCCUUGAAAGCUAAGAAGGCGGUGCUGAAAGGUGUCCACAGCCACAAAAAGAAGAUCCGAACGUCAGCCACCAGCAGCCCGGGACCCUGCGGCUCCGGAGGCAGCCAGAAUAUCCUGGAAAGAGUGCACCCAGGAGAAACAAGCUUGACCACUAUGCUAUCAUCAAAUUCCCACUGACCACCGAGUCGGCCAUGAAGAAAAUAGAGGACAACAACACGCUUGUGUUCAUUGGAUGUUAAGGCCAACAAGACCCAGAUCAAACAGGCCGUGAAGAAACACAUCAAUUCACAUUGAUGUGGCCAAAGUCAAUACUCUGAUACGGCCUGACGGAGAGAAGAAGGCGUAUGUUCGCUUGGUUCCUUAUUAUGAUGCUCUAGAUGUUGCCAACAAGAUUGGGCUCAUCUAAAGUGAGUCCAGAUGGUUAAUUC